AUUGAACGCUGGCGGCAGGCCUAACACAUGCAAGUCGAGCGAGCGGCGGACGGGUGAGUAAUGUCUGGGAAACUGCCUGAUGGAGGGGGAUAACUACUGGAAACGGUAGCUAAUACCGCAUACCAUCAGAUGUGCCCAGAUGGGAUUAGCUAGUAGGUGGGGUAACGGCUCACCUAGGCGACGAUCCCUAGCUGGUCUGAGAGGAUGACCAGCCACACUGUAACUGAGACACGGUCCAGACUCCUACGUUAGGCAGCCGUGGGGAAUAUUGCACAAUGGGCGCAAGCCUGAUGCAGCCAUGCCGCGUGUGUGAAGAAGGCCUUCGGGUUGUAAAGCACUUUCAGCGGGGAGGCGUUACCCGCAGAAGAAGCACCGGCUAACUCCGUGCCAGCAGCCGCGGUAAUUC
rnacentral:rRNA from 1 species